UACAGAGGUCUCAAGCGUUGUUCGGAUUCAUUGGGCGUAAAGGGUGUGUAGGUGGCGCCGUAAGUCGGGUGUGAAAUUUCGGAGCUUAACUCCGAAACUGCAUUCGAUACUGCGGUGCUUGAGGACUGGAGAGGAGACUGGAAUUCAUGGUGUAGCAGUGAAAUGCGUAGAGAUCAUGAGGAAGACCAGUGGCGAAGGCGAGUCCCUGGACAACUCCUGACACUGAGGCACGAAAGCUAGGGGAGCAAACAGG
rnacentral:rRNA from 1 species